GACGAACGCUGGCGGCGUGCCUAAUACAUGCAAGUAGAACGCUGAAGAGAGGAGCUUGCUCUUCUUGGAAGAGUUGCGAACGGGUGAGUAACGCGUAGGUAACCUGCCUUGUAGCGGGGGAUAACUAUUGGAAACGAUAGCUAAUACCGCAUAACAAUGGGUGACCCAUGUCAUUCAUUUGAAAGGGGCAACUGCUCCACUACAAGAUGGACCUGCGUUGUAUUAGCUAGUAGGUGAGGUAACGGCUCACCUAGGCGACGAUACAUAGCCGACCUGAGAGGGUGAUCGGCCACACUGGGACUGAGACACGGCCCAGACUCCUACGGGAGGCAGCAGUAGGGAAUCUUCGGCAAUGGGGGCAACCCUGACCGAGCAACGCCGCGUGAGUGAAGAAGGUUUUCGGAUCGUAAAGCUC
rnacentral:rRNA from 1 species